rnacentral:rRNA from 1 species
UAACACGUAUCCAACCUGCCGUCUACUCUUGGACAGCCUUCUGAAAGGAAGAUUAAUACAAGAUGGCAUCAUGAGUUCACAUGUUCACAUGAUUAAAGGUAUUCCGGUAGACGAUGGGGAUGCGUUCCAUUAGAUAGUAGGCGGGGUAACGGCCCACCUAGUCUUCGAUGGAUAGGGGUUCUGAGAGGAAGGUCCCCCACAUUGGAACUGAGACACGGUCCAAACUCCUACGGGAGGCAGCAGUGAGGAAUAUUGGUCAAUGGGCGAGAGCCUGAACCAGCCAAGUAGCGUGAAGGAUGACUGCCCUAUGGGUUGUAGACUUCUUUUAUAANGGAAUAAAGUCGGGUAUGGAUACCCGUUUGCAUGUACUUUAUGAAUAAGGAUCGGCUAACUCCGUGCCAGCAGCCGCGGUAAUACGGAGGAUCCGAGCGUUAUCCGGAUUUAUUGGGUUUAAAGGGAGCGUAGAUGGAUGUUUAAGUCAGUUGUGAAAGUUUGCGGCUCAACCGUAAAAUUGCAGUUGAUACUGGAUAUCUUGAGUGCAGUUGAGGCAGGCGGAAUUCGUGGUGUAGCGGUGAAAUGCUUAGAUAUCACGAAGAACUCCGAUUGCGAAGGCAGCCUGCUAAGCUGCAACUGACAUUGAGGCUCGAAAGUGUGGGUAUCAAACAGGAUUAGAUACCCUGGUAGUCCACACGGUAAACGAUGAAUACUCGCUGU